GUUAGGGUGGCAGAGUCCGGUAAUUGCAAAAGGUCUAAGCCCUUUAACCAGGGGUUCAAAUCCUCUCUCUAACU
rnacentral:tRNA from 1 species